UGAAUUUUUUAUUGAUAAUUUGUGAAAAUUGGAUUGUGGCUAAGUUCCACCAUUUUAGAACUUCAAUGUGAAGUUCUAAAUGUUCAUCUAAGUUCUAAAUGUUCAUGAAGAUGAACUUUGGUGAUGGUUGGGAAGAAGAUGAUUGAGAGAGGGAAUUUGAGAAAAAACAAUGGGAAAAUGGUUUAAUUAGUUAUGUUAGUUAACCCCCAAAAAUUAUAAGAAAUAACAUGUUUAUAUAGACUUUGCAAGUGAAUGAACACCAUUAGAUUGUGAUCC
rnacentral:lncRNA from 1 species